rnacentral:lncRNA from 1 species
CUGGAAUCCUGCUGAGUCCUGGAGCUUGAGAGUCUAGAGUAUUAAACUUUCUACUACAUGAGACGUGAAAGAUUCCAGGACAAAGUAUUUUUCUACUUUUGUUCUGGAAGAUGGGCUUCAUUCUUUGGGAAACUAUAUAUUCGAAUUGAUUCUCAAGUACAGCUUCUCCUAUAUGGAUGAAGAGCUACUCAAAAUAAAAUGAAAAUAGCCAAAGCAUGAGAAUUUUAUUCAAGGCAGCCAAAUGGAAUCCCAGGAUACCAUCCUUGCCAGAGACUUUAACCUUGAAUUGACUGCUCUCCAGCUCCUGUCAAAGGCCUGACUGACAGACACAAUAUCCUACAAGUAAGUGGACCGUGUACUCUGUUGCACUGAGCAGAGCUUUCUUGCCCCAUAGGCAAAGUCACAUUGGCUAUAACUGGGUAUUCAAGGCCCACUGGCUCAGCUGUGAAAUUAAGUUGAAGUAAAGAUGACACACAUUUCUCUUGCUAGGAUUCUGACACCAAAGCUGGUGGGGAAAUGCAGAAGAGAGGAGAAAUAUGGGCCCGUCUCUAAUCCGCGCAAUGUUUUUCCUGUCUGGGGCAUUAUUAAUUUCAGAGGUGUAGGGGAGAUCACAAAAAUAUUUGGCCAAUUUCUCUGCUUUCAAUACCCAACAGCUAAAGAGGCCGUGAUUUUCCCAAUGUACACUGCGAAAGAGACGGCAG